GAUGAACGCUGGCGGCGUGCCUAAUACAUGCAAGUCGAGCGAACAGACGAGGAGCUUGCUCCUCUGACGUUAGCGGCGGACGGGUGAGUAACACGUGGAUAACCUACCUAUAAGACUGGGAUAACUUCGGGAAACCGGAGCUACUACCGGAUAAUAUAUUGAACCGCAUGGUUCAAUAGUGAAAGACGGUUUUGCUGUCACUUAUAGAUGGAUCCGUGCCGCAUUAGCUAGUUGGUAAGGUAACGGCUUACCAAGGCAACGAUGCGUAGCCGACCUGAGAGGGUGAUCGGCCACACUGGAACUGAGACACGGUCCAGACUCCUACGGGAGGCAGCAGUAGGGAAUCUUCCGCAAUGGGCGAAAGCCUGACGGAGCAACGCCGCGUGAGUGAUGAAGGUCUUCGGAUCGUAAAACUCUGUUAUUAGGGAAGAACAAAUGUGUAAGUAACUAUGCACGUCUUGACGGUACCUAAUCAGAAAGCCACGGCUAACUUCGUG
rnacentral:rRNA from 1 species